GGGGAAUCUUCCGCAAUGGACGAAAGUCUGACGGAGCAACGCCGCGUGAGUGAUGACGGCCUUCGGGUUGUAAAGCUCUGUUAAUCGGGACGAAAGGCCUUCUUGCGAAUAGUUAGAAGGAUUGACGGUACCGGAAUAGAAAGCCACGGCUAACUACGUACCAGCAGCCGCGGUAAUACGUAGGUGGCAAGCGUUGUCCGGAAUUAUUGGGCGUAAAGCGCGCGCAGGCGGAUUGGUCAGUCUGUCUUAAAAGUUCGGGGCUUAACCCCGUGAUGGGAUGGAAACUGCCAAUCUAGAGUAUCGGAGAGGAAAGUGGAAUUCCUAGUGUAGCGGUGAAAUGCGUAGAUAUUAGGAAGAACACCAGUGGCGAAGGCGACUUUCUGGACGAAAACUGACGCUGAGGCGCGAAAGCCAGGGGAGCGAACGGGAUUAGAUACCCCGGUAGUCCUGGCCGUAAACGAUGGGUACUAGGUGUAGGAGGUAUCGACCCCUUCUGUGCCGGAGUUAACGCAAUAAGUACCCCGCCUGGGGAGUACGACCGCAAGGUUG
rnacentral:rRNA from 1 species